UAUUAAAAUUUCUAAUUUGCUAAAUAAUUUUUUUAAAAUUUUAUUUAGCCAAUUAACCUGAAAAACACGGUGAGUUGUUCACCACCUUUAAAAAAGCAGUGAAUGAUUCAUUAUUUUCAUAUUAUUAUCUUUUUUAUAUAAAUUGUGAGAUUUUUUUUUGGGAUUAUUAAAUUUUUAUUUAUGGUUAAAAUUAUAUGGAUAGAUUGUUAGGGUAUUUUAGAAUUAUAUGUGAUUUGUUGGAAUGGUUGUUAAGAUUAUAAAUGGGAAUAAAAAGAAAUGGUAAAUUAUUCAUCAUUUUGUAAUUUAAGAAAAAAACGUUGAAUCAUUUGUUGCUUCUAAUGGAAAAGAAAAAUACAGUGAAUCAUUUACCAUCUUAUAAAUUUUAUUAAAGACAGUAAAUGAUUGAUCAUCUUUUAAUUAUUUUAUACCCCGACAAUGAGUUGGAUAAAAUAGGGUUAUUUGAACAAAUAAAUUUUUUACAAUGUUAUUUGGCCAAUUAUAAAUUUGUAAAGGGUCGAAAUAAAAAAAAAUUCGGCUGACAGUGAGAGAAGAUGUAAUAUAAAUUACCUAAAAAAUAUAUGACCGAGAAAAAAAAAAUUUUAUCCUCCUUAUUCUGUCAAAAUAAUAAAAUUUGAUAGAAAUAUUUUAUCCCGAUCAAAACGAAUUAUUCUAAUUUAUUCUGGAAUAAUCCGUUAAAAAUAGUUCUCCUCUACCCCUACAAUAGGAUUUAUUUCUUGGGUAUUUGAGGGGCAGGCUAAUCGAAGGUCUUUUUUCUCCGACAUCUCGUUCACUGUGCUACUUUACUCCAUCCCACCUAUCCUUUAUUCUUCGUCUUUAUCUCUUCCCCAAGAAAGCGUGUUUUCGUCCUCCUCAAAACUUUCUUUACUUCUGUGAGAUCACAGGUUGUUCUAUAUAUAUAAUAUAAUAGGGCUAAUACUCUUAACCCGGUUUAAGCAUUUUGGGUGGUCGGUAGGCCCAAGAGGUUAAGAGAGUUAAGCGUGUUAGAACGGAAGUAGUCCUAGGAUGGAUGACCCCCUGGGAAGUUGAGGCGUCACAUUUGGUAUCACGGGCAAUUACCAGCUGAAAGUGUGAGAUAAAUCUCCGUUGAGCUAGGAUUAUACAACGAGGAGAGCGAGGUUCUCAUGCUGUUGAUUGUUGUAAUUGUUGUGGAUAGAGCGCGGUUCCCCCACAAGGUCGGUUUAGGCUAGCGAGACGAGUCUCAUAUUGUCUGGUACUUGUGAGUCUGAGCCUGACAAGUACAUCAGGGCUUAAAGAAGGGAAGAAUGUAAGACCUCAAAUAGUCCUAAAUAUAUGAUAUAAUAUGGCUAAUACUCUUAGCUCAACUUAAGUAUUUUGGGUGAUGGCUAGGCACAAGAGGUUAAGAGAGUUAAGCGUGCUAGGACGGGAAUAGUCCUAGGAUGGAUG
rnacentral:lncRNA from 1 species